rnacentral:rRNA from 1 species
GGGGCUACCCGCUGAG